rnacentral:rRNA from 1 species
AUUGAACGCUGGCGGCAUGCUUUACACAUGCAAGUCGAACGGUAACAGGCCUUCGGGUGCUGACGAGUGGCGAACGGGUGAGUAAUGCAUCGGAACGUACCCAGAGGUGGGGGAUAACGCAGCGAAAGCUGUGCUAAUACCGCAUGUGAUCUGAGGAUGAAAGCGGGGGACCGAGCAGCAAUGUUUGGCCUCGCGCCUUUGGAGCGGCCGAUGUCGGAUUAGCUAGUUGGUGGGGUAAAGGCCUACCAAGGCGACGAUCCGUAGCUGGUCUGAGAGGACGACCAGCCACACUGGGACUGAGACACGGCCCAGACUCCUACGGGAGGCAGCAGUGGGUAAUUUUGGACAAUGGGCGCAAGCCUGAUCCAGCAAUGCCGCGUGCGGGAAGAAGGCCUUCGGGUUGUAAACCGCUUUUGGCAGGAACGAAACGGUGUCCGCUAAUACCGGGCGCUAAUGACGGUACCUGCAGAAUAAGCACCGGCUAACUACGUG